rnacentral:tRNA from 3 species
UGCAGUGUCACCUAAUGGUUAAGGUACUCGGCUCAUAACCGAGCUUAUGUGGGUUCGACUCCCACCACUGCAACCA